rnacentral:rRNA from 1 species
GGUGAACGCUGGCGGCGUGCUUAAGACAUGCAAGUCGAACGGCAGUCUUCGGACUGUAGUGGCGCACGGGUGAGUAACGCGUAACUGACCUACCCCAAAGUCGCGGAUAACGAUUCGAAAGAAUCGCUAAUACGUGAUGUGCUGUCAGAUUGUGUUCUGCCAGUAAAGAUUGAUUGCUUUGGGAUGGGGUUGCGUUCCAUCAGCUAGUUGGUGGGGUAAAGGCCCACCAAGGCGACGACGGAUAGCCGGCCCGAGAGGGUGGCCGGCCACAGGGGCACUGCGACACGGGUCCCACUCCUACGGGAGGCAGCAGUUAGGAAUCUUCCACAAUGGGCGAAAGCCUGAUGGAGCGACGCCGCGUGAGGGAUGAAGGUCUUCGGAUCGUAAACCUCUGAAUCAGGGACGAAAGACACUUCGGUGGGAUGACGGUACCUGAGUAAUAGCACCGGCUAACUCCGUGUCAGCAGCCGCCGUAACAC